ensembl:lncRNA
GGACCGGCUUGGCACCUCGCCUCCGCCCCUCCAAGGAGGCAAGCAACUGACGGCACAUGCAGUCGUAAACAAAGCGAAGAACAUACAGUGGGUGCCGAAGACUGAUGAAGACGCAAAUGUGACGGGCUGAUUGUUGAAGGACAGAUGCCGUCCUCCUCUGGUUGUCGCUGUGUAGCUCGUCUUCGUCAUCUCCGGCAGAUCUCUAUAAUAAGUCCAGAUUAGAUUAGUGUUCUGACUGCAGCUGACAGCAGCCAUAACUCAAGCUGCUAAACUAGUUUAAAGCUUUUCAAACCUAUUCAUCAACGUUAGAGCCGACGUUGACAACUUUUGGUUUGAUUGAAAACAGAAUGAUGUGAAACAGGAAACCCUGUUUUGUGGUUGUUUUGUCAUCUUUCUUUGGGCUUUUUCUCUUAUUAUGUGGGUUUUGUCUCUUUUUUUAAAACUUUUAUUCUUGUUUUGCAUCUUUUAUCAUUUUCUUUGUGCAUAUUUUUGUGUUCUGUGCGUUUUUGAAGGUAUUUUGUGCUUGUUUGUUCUCAUUUUUUCAUCAUUUUGUGCUUUAUUUUUAAAUUUCUUUGUUUUGUGGUUUGUUUUGUGGACGUUUUCUUUUGCUUUCCAUCACAUGUAACACAUUUUUGUGUCACUUUAUUUUAUGAAAUGUUAUAACUUUUGAAGUUCUUUGGAUUUUAAGUAUUUUCGUGGUUAUUUUGAGACUCUUUGUAGUCAUUUUGUGCCCUUUUGUGGUUACUCUGUUUUCACACAGGACCAUCCCUAUGAACACCAUCUACUCCAAUCAGAGAUGUUAUCAGAUGAUGAUGAUGGCACUUCCAGCUGAUUUCAAACUGAAUUUGGAACAUUACCUGCUCCCAACCAGGAGAUGCCCCAGCAUAAGUUACCAUGGUGGUUUAGCCAGACAACUAUGGAGACCACAAACUGCUGGCUGCCUGGAGCCCACAGGAAAAAACAACCCUCCCUUUUAAUUAGACCAGCUCACCAGAUUAGGCCUCAUUAGGCUGCAACACUGGAGUGCAGCUAAAGCCCGCGUAGGCCUCCAGCGCAUCCCACUUUAAUUGCUUCUGUAAUGGCCUCAGCUCAGGCCUUUGAAAUCCCAUUCCUGUGGGUAAUCAGCCAUGUUUGUCUGAGAACCACAAGCGUUUCUCCCCUACUUACCCCUCAGUCUCAGGCAGCCAGAGCUAGCUCUUUAGCCCAAUCACACACUUGUCACAUGUGAGUCGAAUGACUGAAUUAUUAUUAUUAUUAUUAUUAGUUCUUCUGAAAGAACUCCAAAUACUCAAGAAUCAACAGAGAAAUGAUGGUUUGUACUGCAGCAGAGAGAAUGUCAGCACAAUGAAAACACGUCAGUAUAAAGAGUAAAAAUGUGAACAGUACUGCAGUAAACAUUUAAACUACACAGUAUAUGUCACUGCAGCUGAGUAAUCUUUCCAAACACGGUUACUGCAUGAAGCUUAAACAUGUUCCAGAUGAUACUUCUUUCAUACAGCAUCCUAGGAAAAAGGUACAUCAUGGGUGCUGCCGUGCUACGCCCAGUAGCAGCUGUGCUCCUAGUUGAUCUAAGAGAAAUUUUUACCUGUGUAGAAAUGACUAUGUUUCUAGAAUCUUGACUUUCUUGUUUCGCUUAUGUACUGAGAAAAAAUUUAACUUCAAACUACAACAUAUAAAAAAUAUCUACAGAGUGCUUGAGGAUGACUGUUUGUGCAGUUUGACAUUAAAAACAAAGAACUAACUGAAGCUUGGUUAGGCUGCUUUGUGAUCAUGCCAACAAACAUACUGCCCAACCACUUCUGAAGGAC